rnacentral:rRNA from 1 species
AUACGGAGGGUGCAAGCGUUAAUCGGAAUUACUGGGCGUAAAGCGCGCGUAGGCGGUUAUUUAAGUCAGAUGUGAAAUCCCUGGGCUCAACCUAGGAACUGCAUCUGAUACUGGGUAACUAGAGUUUUGGAGAGGUAAGUGGAAUUUCCGGUGUAGCGGUGAAAUGCAUAGAGAUCGGAAGGAACACCAGUGGCGAAGGCGACUUACUGGCCAAAAACUGACGCUGAGGUGCGAAAGCGUGGGUAGCGAACAGGAUUAGAAACCCUAGUAGUCC